CAGCCGCCACGGUAAUACGAAGGGGGCUAGCGUUGCUCGGAAUGACUGGGCGUAAAGGGCGCGUAGGCGGCACAUACAGUCAGAUGUGGAAUUCCUGGGCUUAACUUGGGGGCUGCAUUUGAUACGUAUGAGCUAGAGUGGGGAAGAGGGUUGUGGAAUUCCCAGUGUAGAGGUGAAAUUCGUAGAUAUUGGGAAGAACACCGGUGGCGAAGGCGGCAACCUGGUCCUUGACUGACGCUGAGGCGCGAAAGCGUGGGGAGCGAACAGGAUUAGAUACCCCCGUAGUCCCUGUCUCUUAUAC
rnacentral:rRNA from 1 species